rnacentral:snRNA from 1 species
AUCGCUUCUCGGCUUUUUGGCUAAGAUCAAGUGUACUAUCUGUUCCAUACCCUCCAACCUUUCUCCAAUGAAAAUAAGGAAGUCCUAUUCCAUAAUCAAAAUCAAGAUAAUUUCAUUAUUU